rnacentral:misc_RNA from 1 species
AGAGUUAAAUAGUACGUGAAAUUGUUGAAAGGGAAACGAUUGAAGUCAGUCAUGCUAGUGAGGAAUCAACUCGGUGGUUUUCUUCCGCGUGUACUUUCUCGCCUGGCAGGUUAGCAUCAAUUUCGAUCGUCAUUAAAUGAUUGAGGUAAUGUGACUUCUCUUUGGAGGAGUGUUAUAGACCUCGGUAGAUGUGGUGAUCGGGAUUGAGGAUUGCAGUGAAUGCUAUUUGGCUAGUCCCUUGAUUUCUGAUGGUCACCUUGCCUUCGACAGCUCGCUGACGUGGGUGAGAACUGAUUGUCUAGAUGUUAGGGUGAUCAUAUAUUCGCUAAGGAUGCUGACGUAAUGGCUUUAAACGA